UAGAGUUUGAUCAUGGCUCAGGAUGAACGCUAGCGGCAGGCCUAAUACAUGCAAGUCGAGGGGUAAGAGUCAGCUUGCUGACUACACGACCGGCGCACGGGUGCGUAACGCGUAUGCAACCUACCUUUAACAGAGGAAUAGCCCCGAGAAAUCGGGAUUAAUACCACAUAACAUUAUGAUAUGGCAUCAUAUUAUAAUUAAAACUCCGGUGGUUAAAGAUGGGCAUGCGUGACAUUAGCUAGUUGGUGAGGUAACUGCUCACCAAGGCUACGAUGUCUAGGGGUUCUGAGAGGAUGAUCCCCCACACUGGUACUGAGACACGGACCAGACUCCUACGGGAGGCAGCAGUAAGGAAUAUUGCGCAAUGGAGGCAACUCUGACGCAGCCAUGCCGCGUGCAGGAUUGAAGGCCUUAUGGGUCGU
rnacentral:rRNA from 1 species